rnacentral:rRNA from 1 species
CAGUAGCCGCGGGAAUACGUAGGUGGCAAGCGUUGUCCGGAAUUAUUGGGCGUAAAGCGCGCGCAGGCGGAUAGGUCAGUCUGUCUUAAAAGUUCGGGGCUUAACCCCGUGAUGGGAUGGAAACUGCCAAUCUAGAGUAUCGGAGAGGAAAGUGGAAUUCCUAGUGUAGCGGUGAAAUGCGUAGAUAUUAGGAAGAACACCAGUGGCGAAGGCGACUUUCUGGACGAAAACUGACGCUGAGGCGCGAAAGCCAGGGGAGCGAACGGGAUUAGAUACCCCCGUAGUCCCUGUCUCUUAUACA